rnacentral:rRNA from 1 species
AUUGAACGCUGGCGGCAUGCCUUACACAUGCAAGUCGAACGGUAACAGGUUAAGCUGACGAGUGGCGAACGGGUGAGUAGUGUAUCGGAACGUGCCCAGUCGUGGGGGAUAACUGCUCGAAAGGGCAGCUAAUACCGCAUACGACCUGAGGGUGAAAGCGGGGGAUCGCAAGACCUCGCGCGAUUGGAGCGGCCGAUAUCAGAUGAGGUAGUUGGUGAGGUAAAGGCUCACCAAGCCGACGAUCUGUAGCCGGUCUGAGAGGACGACCAGCCACACUGGGACUGAGACACGGCCCAGACUCCUACGGGAGGCAGCAGUGGGGAAUUUUGGACAAUGGGCGCAAGCCUGAUCCAGCCAUGCCGCGUGCGGGAAGAAGGCCUUCGGGUUGUAAACCGCUUUUGUCAGGGAAGAAAAGGUUCUGGCUAAUACCUGGGACUCAUGACGGUACCUGAAGAAUAAGCACCGGCUAACUACGUGCCAGCAGCCGCCGUAA